AACGAACGCUGGCGGCAUGCCUAACACAUGCAAGUCGAACGAGACCUUCGGGUCUAGUGGCGCACGGGCGCGUAACGCGUGGGAACCUGCCCUUAGGUUCGGAAUAACUCAGAGAAAUUUGAGCUAAUACCGGAUAAUGUCUUCGGACCAAAGAUUUAUCGCCUUUGGAUGGGCCCGCGUAGGAUUAGCUUGUUGGUGGGGUAAUGGCCUACCAAGGCGACGAUCCUUAGCUGGUCUGAGAGGAUGAUCAGCCACACUGGGACUGAGACACGGCCCAGACUCCUACGGGAGGCAGCAGUGGGGAAUAUUGGACAAUGGGCGAAAGCCUGAUCCAGCAAUGCCGCGUGAGUGAUGAAGGCCUUAGGGUUGUAAAGCUCUUUUACCAGGGAUGAUAAUGACAGUACCUGGAGAAUAAGCUCCGGCUAACUCCGUG
rnacentral:rRNA from 1 species